rnacentral:siRNA from 1 species
GAAUCUUGAUGAUGCUGCAG